ensembl:lncRNA
CACCGCCCCGCGGCGAGUACGGCGCUCCAAGAUGGCGCCCGCCGUUCCCCCCCGGUGCGUGGGAGUGCCGCUGUGUGCGCUCGUGUUUUCGCUACGAUGGAGAGCACAGGGACAGGUUUCCGAGCAGAGCAGCCCGUCAGCCCCAGCACAGCGAGCUCUGCGGUUUUGAUGAAGAGAUGGCGUUUUGCAGUGAAAAUACAAAGAAAGAAGGAAGAGAAGCAGCCGUUUCCUUCCGAAGAUAAGGGCUAAGGUGCCGUCCUGAUUGCUGAGCAGGCUUUGCCUCCACGGGUCAAAUGAACCACGAAGGCAACGUGAGAACCUGAGUGCCCAGGCGGCCAGGCCAUGUGACAGCCCCGUGCUGCUCCGCCUCCUUACCGGCGGGGGAAGGCGCAGUAAGACGGAGCUGCGCACCUCGUCCUCCUCUCACAAACCUUCCGAGCUGACGGAUGUUUCCUCCGGGCCUCUUAUUGCAGACACCUCCACCAUUUAUGCCUGGACAGAGUGGGCCAAGAUGUGACAGUGCGUACUCAGGUGAACUCUGAGCUUUCUGCUUCGCUCCGAAUGUAGAGCCCAGAGCUUCACCCAGCUGCUUGGUCAUUUCGCUGAGCACAGGCUGGCUUCCUUUGGGCACAUCUUAGAACCAGAACUCACAGUGAGCUGCUAAUAUUUUCCAAGGCCGUCCUGUUGGUCCGUGCCAGCCUCUAGAGGACAGGGAGAAGCAGUGCAAGGAGGGCCUGGGCGCAGUCCCACCCUGUGUCUUACCAGCACGACAUCCAUAGCUGCCAAUGUAAACGGCACAAGCGGGCACCUCGAUUCACAGCUCUGGAGCGGAAGCCAUCAGUGAAGAGUGGCAGAGCUUUAGCGACUUGCAGAGAGCUAAAAACAGAGUUUUGGUGGGAGACUCAAACUCCCAGAGGAUAUUCCCACAUUGAGGGAGAAGAUAGCCACGAUGCUGCCAGAGCUCCUGCUGCAGCACAGCUUUGGUGCAUCAUACCCGCAUUAAAAGCUUUGUACUUCUCCUAAAAAUUACCCUCUAGGGUUUGUUUUCUCUUACCUGAGCUCCUUCCAAAGAUUAGUGUCAAAUUCACCACUCUCUUAAAACACCUACAAAGGCUUCAGCCGAAAGGUUUUCAUUUUAGGACAUUGAACAAAGAAUUUAGCCAGGCUCAAAACCUUUAUGCUGGUAAUGGUGCCACGCCCCAAGGGAAUUAAUUUGCCUAUCUCACACUGUGGGACUUCCCUGCUCCCAGAUGCCUCAGUCCAGACCACGCUUCCCAUGCUUCACCCUGAGGCUCUCGGCCCCACUCUUGCAGGAGAAAAACGCUGCUACUCUGAAAAACAUGGGUGAAAUUGUAAGUGGCACAGCAAGAACAUACCCCGAGGCCUGGAGCUGGUUUGCUCUCAGCCAGCUCAUUUCAGACUUGACUGUCCAGAAGUUUGAAUUGGGUCAGUGCAAUAAGCAGCAUAGAAGAGUCAUUCGGCCUGGGAGGGUGUUAGGUCCACUUGUUCUCAUAACAUCCCAGUGUGCUUGUGCAGCUCCUCUGAUCCCAAAUGAGCCUUUUGCUGUAGUGGGAAAGAUAACGCACGAUGUAAUUGUUGUUUGGUGGUGUGUUCUCUAGGUUUGUUGUUUUGUUGUAAGAAA